GUCUUGUACACACCGCCCGUCACACCAUGGGAGCUGGUAAUACCCAAAGUCGGUUUGCUAACCUCGGAGGCGACCGCCUAAGGUAGGACUGGUGACUGGGGUGAAGUCGUAACAAGGUAUCCCUACGAGAACGUGGGGAUGGAUCACCUCCUUUCUACGGAGUACACUUAGUUAUGGAACGAAUAUUUGUAUCCAGUUUUGAGAGAUUUAUCUCUUCUCUGUUCUUUGAAAACUGAAUAUCGACAUUGAUAUAUUAAAAUUAAUAUUUCAAAGUUUAGAUCAACCUAUAGAAUAUUUAUAAAAAAAGACAACAAUAGGUCAUACAACAAACAAAAUAUAACGAAACAACUAUUAAACAAGAUAAGAGUUUUUGGUGGAUGCCUUGGGUCUGGAAGUCGAUGAAGGACUG
rnacentral:misc_RNA from 1 species